AUUUAUAUAGUUUAAAAAAAACAUUACAUUUUCACUGUAAAAAUAAAGAAAACUUUUAUAAAUA
rnacentral:tRNA from 2 species